UGGCUCAGACGGUAAAGCGCCCGUCUACAAUGCGGGAGACCCAGGUUCUAUCCCUGG
rnacentral:tRNA from 1 species